rnacentral:rRNA from 1 species
ACGCUCGACACCUACGGGGGCAGCAGUGGGGAAUAUUGCACAAUGGGGGAAACCCUGAUGCAGCAACGCCGCGUGAAGGAAGACGGUUUUCGGAUUGUAAACUUCUGUUCUUAGUGAAGAUAGUGACGGUAGCUAAGGAGCAAGCCACGGCUAACUACGUGUCAGCAGCCGCGGUAAUCUGAGCGGGCUGGCAAGGC